GAAAUUCACAUUUGAAUAUCUUCCCUUUACAUUUGUUGGCGAACUCUGUGAUGUAGUUGGUCUCUGGAAUUCAAUUGAAAUACCUUCUUUCAAUUAUGAUUUAUUGCUUUCAAUGCCGUCAAUAUCUUCAAUUCAAUUCUGCCUCUUGUUACCAACGAAGAAGGAGACAAGAUCGGAAAAUUUUCUGGCGAUGGUAUUUGGCUGGACGAAGGAAAACCGUCGCCUUUUUCUCUUUAUCAGUUCUUUUUGAAAAUGCCAAAUUCUGAAGUCGAGAAUCUUCUCAAGUCGUUCACGUUGUUCAAGUAGUUUUAUUCCACUGGAAGAAAUUGCAUUUCUCAUGGAACAACACAAAAAAUCACCAGAGAAGAGAAAAGCACAAACGAUUCUAGCUGAAGAUAUGACGCUUCUAGUCCAUUGAGAGGCGGGUCUAAAACAAGCCGAAAAAGUCACAGAAGCGCUCUACAAGGCAAAUGUUGAAGGACUAGGUGAACUGAACUACAACUAAAUCAUAUCGUUAAGAUUUUUCCAGAGCCUGGACUAUCCAUUCUUGAUCUGGCACUAAAAGCUUAAUGUUUUACAACAGAGACUGAUACAAUGAGAAUCAUCACAGCUGGGGGUUCUAUAUCAAGCAAUAGCGAACUCAAAACUUCGCACUAACAUCCACUACCUCAUCACCACAAACAUCAGAUACCAUUUAUAUCUAUUAGUUAAAAAUGUUAAAUGUCUCCUUUUUGUUGGCAAGGAUGAGCAUAUGAAUAAAAACAAUUUGUUUAGCUUAUAUCCAUAUUCAAUUUUACAUUAAUUAAAAGUCAUUAAUAAUAAUAUUGUAUUCUUUUUUGUGAUAAAAAUAAAUAAUUUGAAUCAUUAAAUAUGUAGACUCCCUGGUUUGUCAAUCAU